rnacentral:tRNA from 1 species
AUUUAAAUAGUUUAAUAAAAAUAUUGAUUUGUGGAAUCAAAGUUAUGACAAUCAUUUUAGAUA